AUCCUGGAUAUAACAUUCACCUUCACUAGAAUAUAUUCACGAUUUUUUCGAUUUUCAAAAUAUCCCCCUUUUUUUCCCGCACAGACAUAAUUUGCACCAAAAUGUCCAAGAAAAUAUUACAAAUCCAAUUUUAAUGUUCUAAUAUAUAUAUUUUAUAUGAAUAUUUAUUGUUUAAUAUAUCAUUAAAGUUUUGUCAUCAUUUAUUAUUUUUUAAUUUCAUAAUCGUUUUUUUACGAUAAUAGUGGAACGUUCAGCAGUACUCGGGUUUUACCGCUGCAUACUAUGAAAAGUCUGAGCAUGCGCACUUUCACCGCUUGAUUUUUAAAAACAGUGAGAAAACUUGCAGUGAAAUUUAGCUCGAUCUAGAUUCCAGAACAAAGAAAAAGAGUCUUGUAUAAAAAUCCACAGAUCCAAUGUGUCUGAGGUUGAGGAAUGCAUUGCAGUAACACUUAAGCAUGCACCAGCUCAAAAAGAUGGACCAAGAUAUUAAAAGAGACCUGAAACCAACACAAGACCAGCUGAUCAGAGGGCAGAAAACCAAAAUUUGGAAUGACAUGUAUACAGCCAACACAAGACUAAAAUUUGGAAUAAAAAUAAAAAAAUUCAGAAACAUAUUAAUUUAUUAU